rnacentral:rRNA from 1 species
AUUGAACGCUGGCGGCAGGCCUAACACAUGCAAGUCGAACGAGUGGCGGACGGGUGAGUAAUGUCUGGGAAACUUCCCUAUGGAGGUGGAUAACUACUGGAAACGGUAGCUAAUACCCCAUACCCUAGGCUGUGCCCAGAGGGGAUUAGCUUGUAGGUGAGGUAACGGCUCACCUAGGCGACGCUCCCUAGCUGGUCUGAGAGGAUGACCAGCCACACGGGAACUGAGACACGGUCCAGACUCCUAAGGGAGGCAGCAGUGGGGAAUAGUGCACAAUGGGAGAAAGCCUGAUGCAGCCAUGCCGCGUGAAUGAAGAAGGCCUUCGGGUUGUAAAGUACUUUCAGCGGGGAGGCGUUACCCGCAGAAGAAGCACCGGCUAACUCCGUGCCAGCAGCCGCGGUAAUAC